AGAAAUACCAGACAUACCAUUACCACUCCAUCUCCAUGGGAAAACCAAUGAUGAGUUAGCUACAAAAUCAUCAAAUGAUGAAACAUUAUGUGUUACAAAAGCAUGUGAGCUAUCAGUUGAUUUGGCUGGAAAAUCAUCAAAUGAUGAAACACCACACCGUUCUCAAAAAGAUGUUUCACUUUACUUAAAUUUUCAUUUUAAAAAUGAUAAUGAAAAAUUGUUAGCUGUUGAAAAUAUUUGGAUACCUGACAAAUGUUAUAAAUUUCCAUUGCCCUUGGGCAAAAGAAAUUUAACCUUUCAAGCAUCCUGGCUUAACAAAUAUAAGUGGCUUGCUUACUCAGCCGAUGAAAAGGGCGCAUUUUGUAAAGUUUGCGUCAUAUUUUCCCCAAGAUAUGCUGGAAAUGGGUUACAAAAACUCAAAACAUUGGUAAGUCAGGUGUACAUAAGAUGGAAAGA